AGUGAACGCUGGCGGUAGGCCUAACACAUGCAAGUCGAACGGCAGCACAGUAAGAGCUUGCUCUUACGGGUGGCGCGUGGCGGACGGGUGAGGAAUACAUCGGAAUCUACUUUUUCGUGGGGGAUAACGUAGGGAAACUUACGCUAAUACCGCAUACGACCUACGGGUGAAAGCAGGGGAUCUUCGGACCUUGCGCGAUUGAAUGAGCCGAUGUCGGAUUAGCUAGUUGGCGGGGUAAAGGCCCACCAAGGCGACGAUCCGUAGCUGGUCUGAGAGGAUGAUCAGCCACACUGGAACUGAGACACGGUCCAGACUCCUACGGGAGGCGGCAGUGGGGAAUAUUGGACAAUGGGCGCAAGCCUGAUCCAGCCAUACCGCGUGGGUGAAGAAGGCCUUCGGGUUGUAAAGCCCUUUUGUUGGGAAAGAAAAGCAGCAGGUUAAUACCCCGCUGUUCUGACGGUACCCAAAGAAUAAGCACCGGCUAACUUCGUG
rnacentral:rRNA from 1 species